CCAAAGCCGGGUUAGAGAAUUAGCGCAAUUAUUAGAUGCAUAUGAUUCCUUGGUAGCAAGGAACAGGGAACUUGGUGGAGCGGAUACCGAUAAUGAUUCAAAGAAGUUCUCAGAUGCAACAAUAUCAGAGAGGUUUAUGGGUUUAAGAGCUGCUCUGUUCAGUAGUUGCUCUAGCGUCAGUUCUUUCGCGGAAAAUAUUGGUUUGAGUGCUCUGCAAAUUGACGAAUUGAUAAAGCCAACUGAUCCCAGUGAUGAUUCUCUUAAAGAAGUUCCUGCUGACUCUACUGCAGUAUCUCGAUUAUUGCAGCUUCUAGGAAUUUCAGGAGGUGAUUUUCUGGAGAAAAGUGAGUACGAUCUUGUAUUUUUGCACAUCAAAGCUGAUGAAAGAACAGGAGACAACAAGGAGGUUAAUUGGCUCAACAAAUUGGCUGGUGGAUUGAUGGAAAUAGCUCAACCUGGAUCACAAGUUGCUUCUCGGUUGCACAUUUCUGUUGUGUUGAGCUAUGGCGCUCUCAUUGAGAGCAAUGAGAAGUAUUCUUUGGUUGUGAACUCGUCAGACUCUGAUCUGUCUUUGCUUCGUCCUCGCCAAAGUUACACAAUGAAGGGG
rnacentral:misc_RNA from 1 species